AGUCUACUUUGUAGGUUUGAACCUUCGAUUACCUUAUCCGUUGUAGCCAAAGUUCAACGAAGCGGCAACUUUGGCACUCCGCAGAUAAGGCAAUCGAUUGUUUUUGACACUUCAAUACCACGA
rnacentral:pre_miRNA from 15 species